UACGUAGGGUGCGAGCGUUGCCCGGAUUUAUUGGGCGUAAAGGGCGCGUAGGCGGCUCUGCACGUUCGUUGUGAAAUCGCCCGGCUCAACUGGGCGGGGUCAGCGGAUACGGCAGAGCUUGAGCAAGCUAGGGGGCAAUGGAAUUCCCGGUGUAGUGGUGGAAUGCGUAGAUAUCAGGAGGAACACUGGUGGCGAAGGCGGUGGUCUGGGCCGGUACUGACGCUGAGGAGCGAAAGCGUGGGGAGCGAACAGG
rnacentral:rRNA from 1 species